GGGGUCUAUUUGGAAACAGCCUUUCUACCCUAGGGUAGGGGUAAGGUCUGCGUACACACUACCCUCCCCAGACCCCACUAAGUGUGAUUAUACUGGAUUGUUGUUGUUGUUGACUGUAUGAUAUUAUUGCAUGCUAUUUUAUUUAUUGCUCUUACGUUUAGAUAAUUAUUUACGCUAUUUCUCCUGGAGUUAAUAAUGCUCUUUUGUUUUUGUUUUUGUUUUUGUUUUUUGUUUUUCCUUUCCUUCACUAAGCCGAGGGUCGAUUGGAAACAGCCUCUCUGCCCUUUCUGCUGAAGCUACUAAUGCUCUUUUGUUGUUGUUUUUGUUUUUGUUGUUCCUUUCCUUCACUGAGCCGAGGUUCGAUUGGAAACAACCUCUCUGUCCUUUCGGGUAGGGGUAAGGCCCGUAUACAUAUUACCCUCUCCAGACCCCACUUUGUGGGACUAUACUGGGUAGUUGUUGUUGUUGUUGUUGUUUCAUCUCUUUCAGUCUCUUUGAUGAAAUCUAUGUUCGGCUAUUCUCUUUAUUUUGUAUUUGUCUUUUAUUUUCUAGUUUGAUCCGGACAACUGUUUUGCUGGUAGAAUGAAUAAGAUGAAGGAAAAAAAAAUCCUUUUUAAGUUCUGUGUGAUUUUAACAUAAUGCGUAUACAUAUUUAGUAAUUAUUGCCAAGUAUUCU
rnacentral:lncRNA from 1 species